rnacentral:rRNA from 1 species
CAGGACGAACGCUGGCGGCGUGCCUAACACAUGCAAGUCGAACGGGGUGAUUUCUUUCGGGAGAUCACUUAGUGGCGAACGGGUGAGUAACGCGUGAGGAACCUGCCUUUCAGUGGGGGACAACAGUCGGAAACGACUGCUAAUACCGCAUAAUGUAGCGAGACCGCAUGAUCUUGCUACCAAAGCUUUAUGUGCUGAAAGAUGGCCUCGCGUCUGAUUAGCUAGUUGGUGGGGUAACGGCUCACCAAGGCGACGAUCAGUAGCCGGCCUGAGAGGGUGACCGGCCACAUUGGGACUGAGACACGGCCCAAACUCCUACGGGAGGCAGCAGUCGGGAAUAUUGCACAAUGGGCGCAAGCCUGAUGCAGCAACGCCGCGUGAGGGAAGACGGUUUUCGGAUUGUAAACCUCUGUCUUUGGUGACGAAGAAGUGACGGUAGCCAAGGAGGAAGCCACGGCUAACUACGUG